rnacentral:rRNA from 1 species
CUUCCGGCCACUCUUGGGCUUGAUAAAAGUGACAGCUUCCAGUAUCUCAUUGACCGGUUAGUUUUGAGAUUAAGUGGUUGGAAGGAAAAGUGCCUAUCUUCGGGAGGGAAAGAGAUUCUCAUUAAGUCAGUAGCACAAGCAAUACCAAUAUACGCGAUGUCUGUCUUUAAAAUUCCUAAAAAAAUUUGCAAAGGAAUCAUGGAUGCGAUAUCUCGUUUUUGGUGGGGUGAUGAUGCAACUCACAAGAAGAUGCACUGGUUCGCAUGGUGGAAGAUGUGCAUUCCUAAAAAGCAAGGAGGGAUGGGGUUCAGAGAUAUUCACUGCUUUAAUUUGGCAUUGUUGGCUAAACAGGCUUGGAGACUAAUUGAUAAUCCUGAAUCUCGAUGUGCGAUGAUUCUAAAGGCGAAAUACUUUGCUGAUGUAGAUCUUAUGGAUGCUACCCUAAAGAAAAAAGCUUCGUAUACAUGGCAAAGCAUUAUGGCUGGAUUGGAGGCCCUAAAAGUUGGGCACAUAUGGAGAGUGGGU